rfam:Spironucleus salmonicida unplaced genomic scaffold scf7180000020591, whole genome shotgun sequence.
GGGGCCAUAGCUCAGUUGGCAGAGCAUUCGACUCCAGAUCGAACGGUCAUGGGUUCGACUCCUGUUGGCCUCA